rnacentral:rRNA from 2 species
GAGUUUGAUCAUGGCUCAGAACGAACGCUGGCGGCAGGCUUAACACAUGCAAGUCGAGCGCACAGUUUACUGUGAGCGGCAGACGGGUGAGUAACGCGUGGGAAUCUACCUUGAGCUACGGGAUAACAGAGAGAAAUUUCUGCUAAUACCGUAUGUGGCCUUUGGGCGAAAGAUUUAUCGGCUUAAGAUGAGCCCGCGUUGGAUUAGCUGGUUGGUGGGGUAAAGGCCUACCAAGGCGACGAUCCAUAGCUGGUCUGAGAGGAUGAUCAGCCACACUGGGACUGAGACACGGCCCAGACUCCUACGGGAGGCAGCAGUGGGGAAUAUUGGACAAUGGGCGCAAGCCUGAUCCAGCCAUGCCGCGUGAGUGAAGAAGGCCUUAGGGUUGUAAAGCUCUUUCACCGGUGAAGAUAAUGACGGUAGCCGGAGAAGAAGCCCCGGCUAACUUCGUGCCAGCAGCCGCGGUAAUACGAAGGGGGCUAGCGUUGUUCGGAUUUACUGGGCGUA